rnacentral:rRNA from 1 species
GACGAACCGUGCGAACGUUAUUCGGAAUCACUGGGCUUAAAGGGUGCGUAGGCGGGUCCGGCAGUCAGGGGUGAAAUCCCACGGCCCAACCGUGGAAGUGCCCCUGAUACUGCGGGCCUCGAGGGGGAUAGGGGCGUGCGGAACUCAGGGUGGAGCGGUGAAAUGCGUAGAUAUCCUGAGGAACACCGGUGGCGAAAGCGGCGCGCUGGAUCCCAUCUGACGCUGAGGCACGAAGGCCAGGGGAGCAAACGGG